AUAAACCCAACCCACCACACCUCUUCGCUAGUGUUUAUUUUUGUACAUUGUGCACAAUUUUUUUCAAUUGUCGGCAUUUUCAAGAUUACAAUACUUAAUAAUGAAAGAAGAAAAACACAGACAACACGAAACAAUGGAAGAGAAGACGGAACAAAACAUGGAGAGAGAAGGAAAACAUACAAAGGAUGAGGAAAAAAGGAAAAAGGAGGAGCAAUUGAACAAACAGACGGAAAAACGGGUGCUCAUUUUUCAUGCUGUCCUCUAUCUCAUAACUUUGAUUUUAUAUAUUUUUUAACAUGUAUAUCCACUUUUGUGUAAACAAUAAAUAAAUAUAGUAA